GGUGGCGUCGCCAAGUCCGGUAAGGCAACGGCCUGCAAAGCCGUCAUUCGGCGGUUCGAAUCCGCCCGCCACCU
rnacentral:tRNA from 1 species